UGGGGAAUAUUGCGCAAUGGGGGAACCCGUGACGCAGCGACGCCGCGUGCGGGAUGACGGCCUUCGGGUUGUAAACCGCUUUUGAUUGGGAGCAAGCGCAAGUGAGUGUACCUUUCGAAUAAGGACCGGCUAACUACGUGCCAGCAGCCGCGGUAAUACGUAGGGUCCAAGCGUUGUCCGGAAUUAUUGGGCGUAAAGAGCUCGUAGGCGGCGCGUCGCGUCUGGUGUGAAAGUCCAUCGCUUAACGGUGGAUCUGCGCUGGAUACGGGCGUGCUGGAGUGCGGUAGGGGAGACUGGAAUUCCCGGUGUAACGGUGGAAUGUGUAGAUAUCGGGAAGAACACCAAUGGCGAAGGCAGGUCUCUGGGCCGUUACUGACGCUGAGGAGCGAAAGCGUGGGGAGCGAACAGGAUUAGAUACCCUGG
rnacentral:rRNA from 1 species